UCCGGCAGGCAGAGGAGCUCCGCGAAGACAAAGCCGGCCUGUGUGAGCGGCCACCAGCGGCCAGGCAGCCCUCAGCCUGGUGUCCCCGAGCAAGCCCACCAGCCAGGUCCCGGGCCCUGACUGCUGGCUACUGUAUCCCCGCCUCCCCGGGACGGCGUACCUGAGGCCCCGCCAAGCUGCCCUUCCUGCUGGCCGUCCCUGCUCUGCCCCGCUGCCCUGUCGGGGGGCCUCUGGAUCUUCUCCUGGACCACAGAGAAGGAGCCCGGGCCCAGAGAAGGCCAGCAAGAGUCCAGGGCCACACAGCAGAUCUUCAGGGAGCUCUGAGCAGAGGGGUCCAGCCCAAGGUCUCACCAGACCCAGGCCCAGCUGGAGGAGGAGAUCCCUGGUGAGCCUGGCUCAUGGGGCCUCAGACCUGCCAGGACCAUCGCACCACCUUGCCUGCUGACAGAGCCUCAAACCAGGCCCCUCCGCCCACCUGCCAAGAGCCUUGAGCAGGUCGUGGCCCCUCACCCGGUCCUCUUCGCUUCCUCCCUUGUGAAACGGGGCUGUCUCUGCCUGCCUCACAGGCUGCCACAAAGGAGAAAUAGGAGUGCAUUUGGAAUCAUCUGGUAUACAGCAGGUGCUCAAUAGGCAUGGAUGCCUUUCUGCCCUUUUCCUGCCCUCCUGAGGGAGUGGCCACCCUGGCCUUGUCCCCGAGGCCCUGCCCCCAGCUUUCUUCCUUGUCUCUUGCCUUAGAGGCAGGCCCUCCCCGGCUCUUCUCCCCCCUCAGAGACCAGCAGGACCCACCGUAGGCGCAGAGGUCAAGGCCGCUGGCGCCCGGGGCGCGGCCGGCACGCACUCAGCGCACCUCUACUAAGCACCCAGGAUGUGGUAAGCACCGCGCCAGGUGCUCCACACAGAUCCUCAUGGAAGUCUCAGACAUUGCAGUCCCAGCUCGCGGGAGAGACUACAGCUCAGAGACGCGCAGUGACCAGGGCAGGCACACACAGGAAGAGUGACAGAGGGGCUAGUCCAGCCAGGCCCACAGCGUUUCCGGGGCGCCCUGAGCCCUGGCUUAGGAGCCCACGGGGUCACCCUCACUCCUGGGAGCCUCAUCACUCGGCUGAAAGCAGCAGGCACUAUUUCUUGGGCAUUUGCUCUGCCAGGCACCGACCGGGUUCUUGGCACAACUCCGCUUGGGGACCUCCCAACAGCCUGUGGUGAGUGUCAUCCCCAAGGCUUUUAGUUUGAAAAAUGGCAAAGAGUCAACUCCGUGCCGGGGAAGCGGUGUCAGGUGAAUGAGCAGUGGCCCAGCGCGGCCCUCUCUGGGACACGGCGUGGGGUCGGUUGCCCCACACACCCCUGGAGAUGAUUCGCGGCAUCUGAAUUGGAAGCAAUAUUUCUUUCUCCUGAUUGCUUUUCUGUACAGAACAUCCUAGUAUAUCAUCAUGAGAACAAAAAAGCAAACCUGUUAGAGAGAAAAUAAUUUGAAAACUGUUGCGGGGGGUGGAGGGAUAUGGCUACUCAUUCCUGGGGACUCGACAGUGAGUGAGUGCUGUGAGGCCUGGAUGGGGGUGGGAGGGGUGUGCUGCCCUCACUCAGUUCUCAGUCCUGUAGGCCAAGGUGGUGGCAUUCAUCCGGGUCCCCCCAUGCCAGCCUUGGAGGCAGUCCCAGGCCUGAGGGUCGAAGGGAGGAAGUGGUGUCAUCAGCCCCCAGGGGGUCAGAGGGACCCAGGAAAUGCUGGCCCACGAUCGGGGCUCUGGGAUCCUGGCAGAGCCAAGCUGCUGCCUGCGUGCCUCCUUCUCCCCACUCCCCAAUCCUCUGCCAGCACCCAAAUCUAAGCAGGGAGACUCUGGCUCAAGAAGUUGAAAGCUCUUGUGUCCAGGAGCAGUUUGCCCAGUCUGCUGAGCCCGACGUGGUUUUGCUGCUAGUGUCUGGGCAUAAGCAGAUUUGGGGAGCCCUGGUGCCCCAAGUGCCUGCUAACCACUUCCUCUGGCGUCCCCAUGCGGGAAUGCUAACAAGACCAGAGUUACUCAUUACUCAACUUGGGACAUUUGUAUGUGUGUUCUUUGUGUCUUUAUUUUUUUUUUAAAGGAAAUGAUAUUUUUUUCUCAUUUAAAUGUAAAUAUAUUUCCUUUUUGCUUUUAAUAAGGUUAGAAUAGUAUCAUUAAGCACUGGGUGCCAUAAUGUCAGGUUUUAAACCAAGCUACCAGGACUUCCCCCUAAAAAUGUUCUGAAAUGAAUUGAUCUUAAUAAAGCAAUUUAACAUUAAAAGUCACCCAGGGCGCCCGGGUGGCUCAGUCGGUUAAGCAUCUGACUCCUGGUUUCAGCUCGGGUCUUGGUCUUGAGGUCGUGAGCCCUGUGUCGGGCUCUACACUCAGUGCAGAGUCCACUUGGGUUUCUCUCUCCCUCUCCCUCUGCCCCUCCAGCUCGUGCUCUUUCUCUCUCUCAAAUAAAUAAAUCUUUAAAAAAUAAUAAAAUUAAAUUAGAAGUCACCCAGACCACAGAAGGAGUCCAUGUGUAACAAGGACUUUUUUUUUUUUUUUUUUACGAGAGAGAGCGCAUGUGUGAGUGCAAGUAGAGGGGGUGGGGCGCGGGGAAGGGCAGAGAGAGAGAGAGAACCUCAAGCAGACUCCACACCCAGCUUGGCACCCCACGCAGGGCUUGAUCUCGCGACCUCAAGAUCAUGACCUGAGCCUAAAUCAAGAGUCAGACCCUUAACUGACUGAGCUACCCAGGCGCCCUGACAAGGACUUUAAUUAAAUAAUUCUGGGCCCCUAAACUGUACAGUAACCUCCUUUAUAGGGCUGAACUGUGACCCAGAGAAAGCCUGCACUCUCAUGGGAAGUCAGAAUCUAAGAAGCGGCCACAGAGCUGCUGGGCAAGACCACGUGUCACACCAUGGGAGGUUCUGGGACAGAUGGGUGCUGGUAUUUUCCUUAUGGGGCACAGACCAUGGGCUUCCUGGAACAACGUGUCUGCUCCCCUGUUAGCUUCUCUUUGCUUUGUGGUUGUUUCUUAAAACACACUGCUUGAUUUCCUCUUGGGGACCUUCUGGUGGGAGAUAAAAAAAAAAAAAAAAAAAAAAAAAAAAAAAAAAAAAAAAACCCAGAGAGUUCUGAGUUGGCCCGAGACAUUGGUCAUUCAGCGAACCUUGCCCCUCUCCCCCUGAGUGGAGAAGCCCACCUUAGGGACUUUUACCCUUGGACCACACACACCCACUCAGGGCGUGGAAAUGCCUCACACUGUCUGUGAGCUUCUCCCCCUGCCUCACGGGCUCAUGACAGACGUGGGCUCUUGGGCCCCAGUUUCAAGAGGCCGCAUCUCAGAGCUUCCUGGUCCCUUCCAAAGGCACCCACCUUCCCUCUCUCCAUUCGUAAGACUUUUGUGGGCCUGCCCUCUUCCUGAUGUAGGGACAACUGAACACUUCCUGUCUUAUCUCUCUCCGCAAGAACCGUCUGGCCUGGGGUACCUCCUCUCUCUCGCCCCAAAGGUGUGCUCUGGCAUCUAGGAGGCCCCCACCACCCCGUUUUUUGCCAGUGGAAGUCCUUUCCCGCUUACUUCUGUGCGGUAGGUGGGCAAGUAGCAGGGUCCGUGCAGGUGAGGUGCUGGGGUUUCCCGCACUAAUGCCAGCGAAGACCUGAUACCCAGCUGGGGGGAUGCCCUGGGGAUGCUGCUCCAGGGAGAGAGGGCCCUUCCCCAACCUCUUCCUCCCUGGCUCGUCCUGGGUUCUUGGUCACGGGUGCUGGAGGAGACGUGGCUGCCAGCCCAGUGCACUUGGCUUAGAGGCCUCAAGGGAAAAAGGGUUUUAUAGCCCACAGAUGCUAGUGUCUACCCAGGCGCAAGAUGGUUUUAGAAGGGGAAAGGGCUCGUUCUUGGCAUCCUCCUUACUCUCCUGCAGAGCCUCGGGACCCCCUGCCUCCUAUUCCCUGCUCCACUGAGCUCACUCCCUGAGGCCAUACCGCCCACCUCAGGCAGCCAUCUUCCCUCCUCCCGGCCACGUCUCUUGCUCAGCCACCGAAUUCUACAGGACUUCAUCCUCCUGGGGGCAUCAAAGGCCCCCCCCCAACCAGCCCCAUGACCUCCUGGACCUCUUCAUCCCUUCCCACCCUGCGCCACCACCACACCUGGGACUUGGUCAUUCCCCCAAGGUAAUGAACCCCAGCGUCCAUCCUCUGACCACAGCCUCCUGGCCUCCUGACCUCCCAGCCUCCCAGCACCCACUGCCUCCCUGCUGUCCUGUCUCUU